UGGGCAGGGAAAACGGUUGCAGGAAAAUAAUCCUUCAUUUUCCUCUUCAAGACCCAAGGGAGUUUUUUUUUGUUUGUUUUGUUUUUUGUUUUUUGUUUUUUUUUAUGAGAGCUAUAGAUGCUUGAAAAUGUAUUCUGUUCUCUGCUGUCAGUUGGACGUAGUGCUGUCAAAGCUUUAGUUAUGGUGGUGAAAAUUUCUGAGCUGUCUGUGUUGACACAACCCUCAUGCUGUCCUUGGCUAGGUGAGUCUGGCUCUCAGCUCUGAUGAAAGGAAAUGAAGUUCCAAAUCAUUGAUUUCACAUUCAGCAAAUGACAAAAAGCUGCAGCCUGCUUAAAGCCACUGACAGGCUUGCCCACCAGUUCUGCUGAAAUUUUUGUGGAGAUCGGCUUUUCCUAAGCCAGCUGGUUAGUGGGUGUGAGUCAUGGGCAGCAAGCAAAGACAAAUGAUAGAGCGUGAUGAUGAUAAUCCGUUGAAAUGUAAGUAAAAGAAGUUCAAAUUUCUCCUCUCAGCGGCAGGUGACUUUAACCCCCAAGGCACUGUGAUGUGAGUAUCUGUCAUGUUGGUGUAUACCUUUUGUGUAAAUAAACAUUCACUAGCACAGAGACAUGGAAAAGUGUCAUAUAUGAUUCAGAUGAAUGCUUUUGCUGUCAGACUGUAGUCAGUAUUAAGACCCUGGAUGUAGUUAUUAAAAACUCCACAUAAGGUCUAUGCUUUAUCUCAGGAUGGAAUUAUGAAAUGGGGAAAAAAAAUCAUAAAGAUUUGCAAGCUCUUCCCCUCAAUCCCGUUUAAGAACAAUAUGCCUUUUUGAAAAAUACCAAUGGUCAAAGUCUUCAAUAACUGAUAUUCCAGUAUGAAUAUUGUAAUAUUUAAGUACAAAUACUGCAUAGAAACUUCUUUGUAGCAGUUGAUUGAUAAAGAGUAUGGAGAAUUCUAAAAUGUUACUGCAGAGGAGAUAAAAAAGAGAGAGAGAGAAAAAAAGAAAGAGUAAAAAUAAGUAAGAAACCUUAAUUAACACUUACGGCACAAGAUCUGCCAACCUGCUGUGCAUAGGCAGUAAAUAAAAAAAAGGAACUCAAGUAAUAGUCCGUGUUCAUUCAUCUGUCUAAGCUGAGACAAACGAAGAGUAGCCAGCACAGGGACUUAACAGAAUAGCAUCUUAAUUGCUUAUCAGGAUGAGAAAGAGCGAAGUCGUGGAGAUUGAGAAAUAUGAGACACUCUCUGCAGAAAUAAAGGAUCAACAUGCAACGAGGCAUGCUGACAGACUCCCAGAAAGCCGAGAUGAAUGUAGGAAUAUCAAGAUUUUUAAGUGUGUUUCCUGUUUUGCUGCAGGGGUCAGCUUAAGGACAAAGUAACAGUUUACAAGUUGUGCAGAUGGAUACCCUCUGGUGUAGCAGACUCAUUAUGAUAAGAGUAGUAAAACUUCAAGCCAGACCAUGUGGCAAAUAGCCUGAGAGCCUUGGUGCCAACAACUGGAGAAGAGACUAUGGACCAGAGGGGCCUGCCAGCUGGGGACCAGCAAGUGCAUGAAGUCCAGCAUGAAGUCCAUAAACCAACUGACCAGAACCAGCUGUUAACAAAUCUCUGUGUGAUGUUAGAAAACCCUCAACCUGGUCUUCAGAUCUGGGAGUGUCUGCAUUGCAUUUUACAGUUGUGAGAUCUUCUUGUGUUAUUGUGGCUGCCAAUCAAGGCACUGCUCAUAUGUCUGUGUUGAUCUGUGCAAUGGCUGUGUUAAUAUUGUUCAUGCAUCUGCAUGUUUGGAGAUGCUAGCUACAGGCUAGACCUGCAAAUGGGAGCAACAACACCCAUAUCAAUAACGCUGAGACAAGGGGAACACAAAAGAUGAGAAGCCCACAGAGUUUGGAAACCUUUAAAGAUCUUUCAAAGACAAUUUAGUCCAACUGCACCUGGUCCAUGUUUGUCUAGUCCAAAUUUAUCCAAUUCUCCUUAUGAUGACAAACUUGCACUUCUUUUGGAUGGUAUUGGUAACUGUGCAAAAAAGAUACUUGACAACAUGUCCAUUGGGUAUGACAGUAUAUAUUGAUUUAUUUCUGAAAACUUCCUGGGUAAAAACUCACUUCUUAACUGCUGAGCGUUACACAAGCAAAGUGCAUCAAAAUAUCCACAAGAAACUGCACUGACUCUUUUUUGGGGGGAGGGGGGGUCUAAAUAGAAGAACUGUUUGUGCUUAAUAUUUAAACCAUCCUUACCUGUAAACUUCCUAAUUCCAAGUCAUUGUGACAAGCAGCUCGUAACAAAAAGAUUAAUAUUUAGUGUAGUAAGUACCGUGCAGAUGGAUGGUAUUUUAUGCAAGAUAUUUUUCAAAUUUAAUAUUAUGUAGGUAGUAAUUUUCCUGGUUGUAAAAUUGAGUUAACUUAAGAGAGACCUAUAAAAAUUAGGCUGGGUAUAUCAAAUACAGUGGUAAAAUGUCACGAUGAAAUCCAUUACAGUAGCCAUUAUAACUGUGCAUAUGCAGAACAUUGUUUCAAUUUGUUUUGGAAUAAAUCCUGCACUGCAUAAAGAACGACAGCUCUUAUUGAAUUUUGUGGUGAUUUGACCUGAAUUUAAAAAUAAUAAUAAUAAGAUUUUAUUUUUUAGCAGUGAAUUUAGAAGCAUCGCAAUACUAUGUUUCACUUCAGCCAAGUGCUUCUGAAAAUCACCAUUUAUUUCUGACGUUUUUAAGGACAUUCUUAAACGAUGUGUUGAUGAACCCACAAAGAGCAGAGCAUUGCCAGGACUUCAUAAGCAUUUUUUUUUAAACAAGCAAAAGUUGGUUUUUCAGAGAAAGACUUCCAUCUGCACAUAUUAACAGGUACAAUAUUCUACCUAUUUUAGUAGCAUCUGAGAAGUCCAGAAGUAGCAUCUAGAAGUCUACAUUUGCACCGUUAUUUAUCAUGAUACCAUCAGUAGUACCUCCCAUGGAACUACGAAUGCUCCCAGUAUGCUCUGAUUGCCCAAUCUACCUAUUAGCAAAGAAAGAAAUAUUUCUAUAAUUUAUGAGCAGCUGUUGAAGCUAUGUAAUAAAAAUCUAUACGACGACAAUGAAGAGAGCAGUCUAAAAAUAAUAUGUUAUUUUUUCUAUUUCCCAAAAAAUAUUUUGGAACAUAUUAAAAAUUAAAUAUUAACACUUCUGUAUAUUGGAAGGUACAAUUUCACGGAAGUGCUGAAUGGCCUCUUUACGAUUCAGUUCAGCCAUCCAAUGACCACAGACAGAAAUAUAGAAUUUAUUUUCUGAAGGAAAUCUUUGGUUUCUUUGUUAAAAUUGCUGAAAUGAUAAUAUUUGUGAUGAUGUAAAAUCAUUUCUUUUCCUUUUUGUAAAAAUGGAGCUAAGUAUAUUUGUGUUAAGUAUGUAGGUCACUCUGAAAGUAAUGCCUCCUAUUUAUUUCCAUGACAACUACAAAGUAGAAAACUAUCAACAGAUACAAAGGUUGACACUGGCUGUGUCUGGCACAGGGCAGCCCCAGCCACUCCGCAGAGAGGCUGCCCCUGCUCUUUCCAUUGCCCAUACCUGGACAUGGACACAGUCUGUCCUCAAGACACUCUGUCUUGAGGAACAGGCUGUAAUCUGGUCACAGAACUGAAAGGAUAUCCCUAAAACUCCUGAUGAGAAACAGAAAUACAUGCUGUACAGUGUGGCUGACUGGUAAUCUGGGAUUCAUACCCAAGAAAUGCAGUGACCUUUUUCUACCACCUGAUCCUUCUGCUGCCUGAGUCUCAUCCUGAAAACCACUCUUCUACAAGCUGUCUGUGCUCUCAUUUCAGCUAUAGAAAAUGUAUUAAAAAAUAAUAAUAAUAAAAAA